rnacentral:rRNA from 1 species
GGAAUCUUCCGCAAUGGGCGAAAGCCUGACGGAGCAACGCCGCGUGAUCGAAUGAAGGCCUUCGGGGUGUAAAGAUCUGUUGACAGGGACGAAUAAGCCAUGCGAAUAGUUUGGUGUAUGACGGUACCUGUUUAGAAAGCUCCGGCUAACUACGUGCCAGCAGCCGCGGUAAUACGUAGGGAGCAAGCGUUGUCCGGAAUUACUGGGCGUAAAGGGCGCGUAGGUGGGUGCUUAAGUCAGGUGUGAAAACUCUGGGCUCAACCUGGAGACUGCACUUGAAACUGGGUAUCUUGAGGGCAGGAGAGGAAAGUGGAAUUCCUAGUGUAGCGGUGAAAUGCGUAGAUAUUAGGAGGAACACCAGUGGCGAAGGCGACUUUCUGGACUGUACCUGACGCUGAGGCGCGAAAGCGUGGGUAGCGAACG